rfam:Sphaeroforma arctica JP610 cont1.1896, whole genome shotgun sequence.
AGCGAGAUGACCGAGUUGGUUAAGGUGCUAGCUUAAGGUAGGGUAGAAUUUCUACCCAAUAAUACGCUAGUCUCUUCGGAGGCGCGGGUUCAAAUCCCGUUCUCGUCA